AGCCGCUGGGCGGCACGCACGUCCUCCUCGUUCCGGGCGAGGGUGACGGUGUAGCGGGUGGGGGCCGUGGGCUGUGCGGGGCGGUCGACGGUCA
rnacentral:tRNA from 1 species